rnacentral:rRNA from 1 species
GACGAACGCUGGCGGCAGGCCUAACACAUGCAAGUCGAGCGGAGCGGCGGACGGGUGAGUAAUGCCUAGGAAUCUGCCUGGUAGUGGGGGAUAACGUCCGGCAACGGGCGCUAAUACCGCAUACUAUCAGAUGAGCCUAGGCCGGCGUAGCUAGUUGGUGGGGUAAAGGCCUACCAAGGCGACGAUCCGUAACUGGUCUGAGAGGAUGAUCAGUCACACGGGAACGGAGACACGGUCCAGACUCCUACGGCAGGCAGUAGUGGGGAAUAUUGGACAAGGGGCGAAAGCCUGAUCCAGCCAUGCCGCGUGGGUGAAGAAGGUCUUCGGAUUGUAAAGCACUUUAAGUUGGGAGGCGUUACCAACAGAAUAAGCACCGGCUAACUUCGUGCCAGCAGCCGCGGUAAUUC